rnacentral:rRNA from 1 species
AGUGGGGAAUAUUGCACAAUGGGCGAAAGCCUGAUGCAGCAACGCCGCGUGAGGGACGAAGGCCUUCGGGUUGUAAACCUCUUUUAGUAGGGAAGAAGCGAAAGUGACGGUACCUGCAGAAAAAGCACCGGCUAACUACGUGCCAGCAGCCGCGGUAAUACGUAGGGUGCAAGCGUUGUCCGGAAUUAUUGGGCGUAAAGAGCUCGUAGGCGGUUUGUCGCGUCUGCUGUGAAAACCCGAGGCUCAACCUCGGGCCUGCAGUGGGUACGGGCAGACUAGAGUGCGGUAGGGGAGAUUGGAAUUCCUGGUGUAGCGGUGGAAUGCGCAGAUAUCAGGAGGAAC